GAUGAACGCUGGCGGCGUGGAUAAGGCAUGCAAGUCAAACGGACACUUUCGCAAGAUUGUGUUAGUGGCAGACGAGGUAGUAACACGUAGGAACCUCCUCCCGAGACGGGAAUAACGAGCCGAAAGGUUCGCUAAUACUCGAUAGUAUCUUCGGAUUAAAGAAGCAAUUCGCUUGGGAAAGGGCCUGCGGAGUAUCAGCUAGUUGGUAGUGUAAUGGACUACCAAGGCUAUGACGCUUAGGGGAGCUGAGAGGCUGACCCCCACCGAUGGGACUGAGACACGGCCCAUACACCUACGGGUGGCUGCAGUCGAGAAUCUUCCGCAAUGGACGAAAGUCUGACGGAGCGACGCCGCGUGAUGGAUGAAGU
rnacentral:rRNA from 1 species